rnacentral:rRNA from 1 species
AUUGAACGCUGGCGGCAUGCCUUACACAUGCAAGUCGAACGGCAGCACGGACUUCGGUCUGGUGGCGAGUGGCGAACGGGUGAGUAAUAUAUCGGAACAUACCCUAGAGUGGGGGAUAACGUAGCGAAAGUUACGCUAAUACCGCAUACGAACUAAGGUUGAAAGUGGGGGAUCGCAAGACCUCAUGCUCAUGGAGUGGCCGAUAUCUGAUUAGCUAGUUGGUGAGGUAAAGGCUCACCAAGGCGACGAUCAGUAGCUGGUCUGAGAGGACGACCAGCCACACUGGAACUGAGACACGGUCCAGACUCCUACGGGAGGCAGCAGUGGGGAAUUUUGGACAAUGGGGGCAACCCUGAUCCAGCAAUGCCGCGUGAGUGAAGAAGGCCUUCGGUUGUAAAGCUCUUUGUCAGGAAGAAACGGUGAUCUCUAAUAUAGAUUGCUAAUGACGGUACCUGAAGAAUAAGCAACCGGCUAACUACGUGCC